rnacentral:rRNA from 1 species
GACGAACGCUGGCGGCGUGCUUAACACAUGCAAGUCGAACGGUAAGGCCCUUCGGGGUACACGAGUGGCGAACGGGUGAGUAAAACGUGGGUGAUCUGCCCUGCACUUCGGGAUAAGCCUGGGGAACUGGGUCUAAUACCGGAUAGGACCACUGCCUGCAUGGGUGGUGGUGGAAAGCUUUUGCGGUGUGGGAUGGGCCCGCGGCCUAUCAGCUGGGUGGUGGGGUGAUGGCCUACCAAGGCGACGACGGGUAGCCGGGCUGAGAGGGUGACCGGCCACACUGGGACUGAGAUACGGCCCAGACUCCUACGGGAGGCAGCAGUGGGGAAUAUUGCACAAUGGGCGCAAGCCUGAUGCAGCGACGCCGCGUGAGGGAUGACGGCCUUCGGGUUGUAAACCUCUUUCAGCACCGACGAAGCGCAAGUGACGGUAGGUGCAGAAGAAGGACCGGCCAACUACGUGCCAGCCGCCGCGGUAA